rnacentral:rRNA from 1 species
AGAGUUGAUCAUGGCUCAGGACGAACGCUGGCGGCGUGCUUAACACAUGCAAGUCGAACGAAGCGGCAGUGAAGGAGGCUUCGGCCAAUGGAUCUGCCGACUUAGUGGCGGACGGGUGAGUAACGCGUGAGCAACCUGCCUUUCAGAGGGGGAUAACGUUUGGAAACGAACGCUAAUACCGCAUGACAUAGUUUUAUCGCAUGGUAGGGCUAUCAAAGGAGCAAUCCGCUGAAAGAUGGGCUCGCGUCCGAUUAGAUAGUUGGUGGGGUAACGGCCUACCAAGUCGACGAUCGGUAGCCGGACUGAGAGGUUGAACGGCCACAUUGGGACUGAGACACGGCCCAGACUCCUACGGGAGGCAGCAGUGGGGAAUAUUGCACAAUGGGCGCAAGCCUGAUGCAGCAACGCCGCGUGAGGGAAGACGGUUUUCGGAUUGUAAACCUCUGUCCUUGGUGACGAACAAAUGACGGUAGCCGAGGAGGAAGCCACGGCUAACUACGUGCCAGCCGCAGC